AGGAGCUCUGCUUUCUUUUCAUCUGCUGUAUAAAAGCUGAAGAAUCAAAGUUACGACGUGAGAUGGAUCGGUCUCAUCCUGGAGGUGGAUAUGAGUCUAAAAGAGUUUAUAGCAGGUGUCAUCCAAAGCCUACCUGUGUCCACAGAUGAUUUUGUGCAGGAAUUCCUUCAUGUUCUCCACCAGGACUUGUUUCCCUGUGUGGUUCCAGUGGGAGUGGCAGCUACCUUCAUGUCCGUUCUCUCGGCCGUCUUUGUGGCAUAUAGAUGGAACCGAACCCCAAACAGCAAAUCCUCCGAAGUAAGUGAAGGUGAUGCACUCGGCACUGUAGGAGGUAAAGAGACACAGAAGACUCAUGUGAGUGGAAAAAAGUUUUUUAUGACCUAUU